CCCCAAUCUUGGUUUAUAUGUAAAAGAUAGAACUCAGGGAAAUUUGGUAUCACUGUAUCCAUUAAAAUUUGAAUAAAUAAUUUAAUAUCAUUCCAAUACUGUGUAAGACGAGAGCAUUCCCAGAAAUAUGGAAUAAAGUUCCCUUCUCCCUUUGACACCUUCAGCACCUGUCAGAGGUAGCUUCAUACAUUCGAGACAAUUUUGCAGGAACUAAAUACCAACGCAUUAAUAUUUUGCUAUAAGCUUCCCAAUGUGUAAGGCUGUGAGAUAUUUGUUUAGUGAUUUUUAUAGUUUGAUACCAAUGGAAUAGAUCAAAGGUUUUUAAUAGGUCUCGUUCCCAUAAUAUCAUAUAAGGCAACUUUUCUUCACCAUUUACAUAUAAAAGGCUUUUAUUGCACAUUGAGAGAGGUUUACGCUCCAUAUUAG